GAGAGUAGUACGAAGACCAUCCAAGAGGUUUCUGAAGAAAUUUUGAAGAGACAGAGAUCUUAUACCACUGUUGUGGCUGAGUUUGAUCUUGUGAUGCAGACAGUGAAAGCUGGAACUCAUGAUUCAGAAUCUUGUUUGAAAGAGGAGACCUGCCUUCCAUUAGGGGGAUACAG